GACGUAGGGCGCGAGCGUUGUCCGGAUUUAUUGGGCGUAAAGAGCUCGUAGGCGGCUUGUUGCGUCGACUGUGAAAACCCGCGGCUUAACUGCGGGCUUGCAGUUGAUACGGGCAGGCUAGAGUUCGGUAGGGGAGACUGGAAUUCCUGGUGUAGCGGUGAAAUGCGCAGAUAUCAGGAAGAACACCCGUGGCGAAGGCGGCUCUCUGGGACGGUACUGACGCUGAGACGCGAAAGCGUGGGGAGCAAACAGG
rnacentral:rRNA from 1 species